UACGUAGGGUGCGAGCGUUGUCCGGAAUUAUUGGGCGUAAAGGGCUCGUAGGCGGUUUGUCGCGUCGGGAGUGAAAACCAUGGGCUUAACUCAUGGCUUGCUUCCGAUACGGGCAGACUAGAGGUAUGCAGGGGAGAACGGAAUUCCUGGUGUAGCGGUGAAAUGCGCAGAUAUCAGGAGAACACCGGUGGCGAAGGCGGUUCUCUGGGCAUUACCUGACGCUGAGGAGCGAAAGUGUGGGGAGCGAACAGG
rnacentral:rRNA from 1 species